rnacentral:tRNA from 1 species
GGAAGGGUCGCAUAGUGGCUUAGUGCGCUGGUCUUGAAAACCGGUAGGCCUGCAAGGGUCUCGUGAGUUCGAAUCUCACCCCUUCCG